rnacentral:rRNA from 1 species
UACAGGGGGGGGCAAGCGUUGUUCGGAAUUACUGGGCGUAAAGGGCUCGUAGGUGGCCAACUAAGUCAGACGUGAAAUCCCUCGGCUUAACCGGGGAACUGCGUCUGAUACUGGAUGGCUUGAGUUCGGGAGAGGGAUGCGGAAUUCCAGGUGUAGCGGUGAAAUGCGUAGAUAUCUGGAGGAACACCGGUGGCGAAGGCGGCAUCCUGGACCGACACUGACACUGAGGAGCGAAAGCCAGGGGAGCAAACGGG